CAGCCGCCGCGGGAAUACGAAGGGUGCAAGCGUUAAUCGGAAUUACUGGGCGUAAAGCGUGCGUAGGCGGUGAGUUAAGUCUGCUGUGAAAUCCCCGGGCUCAACCUGGGAAUGGCAGUGGAUACUGGCUCGCUAGAGUCUUGUAGAGGGGGGUAGAAUUCCAGGUGUAGCGGUGUAAUGCGUAGAUAUGCGGAGGAACACCGAUGGCGAAGGCAAUCCCCUGGACCUGUACUGACGCUCAUGCACGAAAGCGUGGGGAGCAAACAGGAUUAGAUACCCCGGUAGUCCCUGUCUCUUAUAC
rnacentral:rRNA from 1 species